GACGAACGCUGGCGGCGUGCUUAACACAUGCAAGUCGAACGCUGAAGACCUGGCUUUUGUUGGGUUGGAUGAGUGGCGAACGGGUGAGUAACACGUGAGUAACCUGCCCUCUUCUUUGGGAUAACGCCCGGAAACGGGUGCUAAUACUGGAUAUUCACUGAUCUUCGCAUGGGGGUUGGUGGAAAGGUUUGUUCUGGUGGGGGAUGGGCUCGCGGCCUCUCAGCUUGUUGGUGGGGUGAUGGCCUACCAAGGCUUUGACGGGUAGCCGGCCUGAGAGGGUGACCGGUCACAUUGGGACUGAGAUACGGCCCAGACUCCUACGGGAGGCAGCAGUGGGGAAUAUUGCACAAUGGGCGAAAGCCUGAUGCAGCGACGCCGCGUGAGGGAUGGAGGCCUUCGGGUUGUAAACCUCUUUCGCUCAUGGUCAAGCCGCAACUGUGGGUUGUGGUGAGGGUAGUGGGUAAAGAAGCGCCGGCUAACUACGUG
rnacentral:rRNA from 1 species